rnacentral:snRNA from 1 species
AUACCUUUCUCGGCCUUUUAACUAAGAUCAAGUGUAGUAUCUCUGUUCUUAUCCUUUUAAUAUCUGAUAUGUGUGUUAAUUGUUAUUGGUCUACAUGAUAUUAAUUAACUCAAUUUUAUAAGUGGAGAGUCCAUUAAGGUAGCUUGCUACCUGGGCUUUGGUGUGUUCGUAGUAGUGCUAUUGCAUUGCCCUGGCGCAACGCACU